AGAGUUUGAUCAUGGCUCAGGAUGAACGCUAGCGGCAGGCUUAACACAUGCAAGUCGAGGGGUAACAGGAUUUAGUUUACUAGAUUGCUGACGACCGGCGCACGGGUGAGUAACGCGUAUACAAUUUGCCUUUUACUGGAGGAUAGCCAAGAGAAAUUUUGAUUAAUACUCCAUAGUAUCAUUUGACCACCUGGUUGAAUGAUUAAAGCUCCGGCGGUAAAAGAUGAGUAUGCGUUCUAUUAGCUAGAUGGUAAGGUAACGGCUUACCAUGGCGACGAUAGAUAGGGGUCCUGAGAGGGAGAUCCCCCACACUGGUACUGAGACACGGACCAGACUCCUACGGGAGGCAGCAGUGAGGAAUAUUGGGCAAUGGAGGCAACUCUGACCCAGCCAUGCCGCGUGCAGGAAGACGGCCCUAUGGGUUGUAAACUGCUUUUAUACAGGAAGAAACUUAUCCACGUGUGGAUAACUGACGGUACUGUAAGAAUAAGGACCGGCUAACUCCGUGCCAGCAGCCGCGGUAAUACGGAGGAUGCAAGCGUUAUCCGGAUUUAUUAGGUUUAAAGGGUGUGUAGGCGGGAGUCUAAGUCAGUGGUGAAAUCUCACAGCUUAACUGUGAAACUGCCAUUGAUACUGGAUUUCUUGAGUAUAGUUGAGGUAGGCGGAAUGUGUAAUGUAGCGGUGAAAUGCUUAGAUAUUACACAGAACACCGAUUGCGAAGGCAGCUUACUAAGCUAUUACUGACGCUGAUGCACGAAAGCGUGGGGAGCGAACAGGAUUAGAUACCCUGGUAGUCCACGCCGUAAACGAUGAUUACUCGUUGUUGGCGAUAUAUUGUCAGCGACUGAGCGAAAGCAUUAAGUAAUCCACCUGGGGAGUACGUUCGCAAGAAUGAAACUCAAAGGAAUUGACGGGGGCCCGCACAAGCGGAGGAACAUGUGGUUUAAUUCGAUCAUACGCGAGGAACCUUACCCCUUACCUGGACUUAAAUGUAGCGUGACUUUCCCUGAAAGGGGAUUUCUCUUCGGAGCAAGUUACAAGGUGCUGCAUGGCUGUCGUCAGCUCGUGCCGUGAGGUGUCGGGUUAAGUCCCAUAACGAGCGCAACCCCUAUUGUUAGUUGCUAACAGGUCAAGCUGAGGACUCUAGCGAGACUGCCACCGUAAGGUGUGAGGAAGGUGGGGAUGACGUCAAGUCAGCACGGCCCUUACGUCCAGGGCUACACACGUGUUACAAUGGUCGGUACAGAGAGCAGCUACUUGGUGACAAGAUGCGAAUCUUUAAAAGCCGGUCUUAGUUCGGAUCGAAGUCUGCAACUGACUUCGUGAAGUUGGAUUCGCUAGUAAUCGCAUAUCAGCCAUGAUGCGGUGAAUACGUUCCCGGGCCUUGUACACACCGCCCGUCAAGCCAUGGAAGCUGGGGGUACCUGAAGUCCGUAACCAUUAAGGAUCGGCCUAGGGUAAAAACUAGUGACUGGGGGCUAAGUCGUAACAAGGUA
rnacentral:rRNA from 1 species